rnacentral:rRNA from 1 species
AACGAACGCUGGCGGCACGUUUUAAGCAUGCAAGUCGAAUGGCAGCAGGGGCAACUCUGUGAGAAUGGCGAACGGGUGAGUAACACGUAGGUGAUCUGCCUUGAGGAUGGGGAUAGCCUGUGGAAACACAGGGUAAUACCGAAUGAGCUGACGAGACUUUGGUUUUGUUAGUAAAGGUGCUACGCCACCGCCUGGAGAGGAGCCUGCGGCUGAUUAGCUAGUUGGUGGGGUAAGAGCUUACCAAGGCGACGAUCAGUAGCCGGCCUGAGAGGGUGUACGGCCACACUGGAACUGAGACACGGUCCAGACUCCUACGGGAGGCAGCAGCUAAGAAUCUUCCGCAAUGGGCGAAAGCCUGACGGAGCGAUGCCGCGUGAUCGAUGAAGGUCGAGAGAUUGUAAAGAUCUUUUCUACAUGAGGAAUAAGUCUGGGAGGGAAUGCCCGGAUGAUGACGUUAGUGUAGGAAUAAGCCCCGGCUAAUUACGUGCCAGCCGCCGCAGUAA